CGCUCCAUCGAUCGCGUCGGUGCCCCGCAAGGGGCUUAAAUGGGAACGCGGUGCGGGAGGAUGCUCCCUAAUCCGCGGCUGUCCCUGCAACUGUGAGCGGCGAGCAAGGCAAGGACGGCCUCCCGAGCGGGCGGCCAGCCACUGGAGCGAUCCGGGAAGGCCCCUGCCGAAGCUAUGACCCGCAAGCCAGGAGACCUGCCGAACGCAAGGGUCGCUCU
rnacentral:ncRNA from 18 species